rnacentral:rRNA from 1 species
GUGUCAGCAGCCGCGGUAAUACGGGGGGGGCAAGCGUUGUUCGGAAUUACUGGGCGUAAAGGGCUCGUAGGCGGCCAAUUAAGUCACACGUGAAAUCCCUCGGCUCAACCGGGGAACUGCGUGUGAGACUGGAUGGCUUGAGUGUGGGAGAGGAAUGCGGAAUUCCAGGUGUAGCGGUGAAAUGCGUAGAUAUCUGGAGGAACACCGGUGGCGAAGGCGGCAUUCUGGACCAUUACUGACGCUGAGGAGCGAAAGCCAGGGGAGCAAACGGGAUUAGAAACCCUCGUAGUCC